rnacentral:rRNA from 1 species
GUGGGGAAUCUUCCGCAAUGGACGAAAGUCUGACGGAGCGACGCCGCGUGAGUGAAGAAGGCCUUCGGGUCGUAAAGCUCUGUCAUCAGGGACGAACGCCCGGUGGAGUGGAAAGCCACCGGAUUGACGGUACCUGAGAAGGAAGCCACGGCUAACUACGUGCCAGCAGCCGCGGUAAUACGUAGGUGGCAAGCGUUGUCCGGAAUUAUUGGGCGUAAAGCGCGCGCAGGUGGGAUCUUAAGUCCAUUUUGAAAGUUCGGAGCUCAACUCCGUGAUGGGAUGGAAACUGGGAUUCUUGAGUACCGGAGAGGAAAGCGGAAUUCCCCGUGUAGCGGUGAAAUGCGUAGAUAUGGGGAGGAACACCAGUGGCGAAGGCGGCUUUCUGGACGGUGUCUGACACUGAGGCGCGAAAGCUAGGGGAGCGAACGGGAUUAGAUACCCCAGUAGUCC